GAUGAACGCUGGCGGCGUGCCUAAUACAUGCAAGUCGAGCGAACGGACGAGAAGCUUGCUUCUCUGAUGUUAGCGGCGGACGGGUGAGUAACACGUGGAUAACCUACCUAUAAGACUGGGAUAACUUCGGGAAACCGGAGCUAAUACCGGAUAAUAUUUUGAACCGCAUGGUUCAAAAGUGAAAGACGGUCUUGCUGUCACUUAUAGAUGGAUCCGCGCUGCAUUAGCUAGUUGGUAAGGUAACGGCUUACCCAGGCAACGAUGCAUAGCCGACCUGAGAGGGCGAUCGGCCACACUGGAACUGAGACACGGUCCAGACUCCUACGGGAGGCAGCAGUAGGGAAUCUUCCGCAAUGGGCGAAAGCCUGACGGAGCAACGCCGCGUGAGUGAUGAAGGUCUUCGGAUCGUAAAACUCUGUUAUUAGGGAAGAACAUAUGUGUAAGUAACUGUGCACAUCUUGACGGUACCUAAUCAGAAAGCCACGGCUAACUACGUG
rnacentral:rRNA from 1 species